rnacentral:rRNA from 1 species
UACGAAGGGAGCUAGCGUUGUUCGGAAUCACUGGGCGUAAAGCGCACGUAGGCGGAUGUGUCAGUCAGGGGUGAAAUCCCGGAGCUCAACUUCGGAACUGCCUUUGAUACAGCACGUCUUGAGUCCGAUAGAGGUGGGUGGAAUUCCUAGUGUAGAGGUGAAAUUCGUAGAUAUUCGCAAGAACACCAGUGGCGAAGGCGGCCGACUGGUCCGGUUCUGACGCUGAGGCGCGAAAGCGUGGGGAGCAAACAGG